rnacentral:rRNA from 1 species
GACGGAGGAUGCAAGUGUUAUCCGGAAUCACUGGGCGUAAAGCGUCUGUAGGUUGUUUAAAAAGUCUGCAGUUAAAGGUUGAAGCUUAACUUCAAAAAUGCCGUAGAAACUUUUAAACUAGAGGAUGGUAGGGGUAGAGGGAAUUUCCAGUGGAGCGGUGAAAUGUGUAGAUAUCAGGAGGAACACCGGUGGUGUAGACGGCUCUCUGGACCGUAACUGACGCUGAGACACGAAAGCGUGGGUAGCAAACAGG